UACGGAGGGGGCAAGCGUUAUUCGGAAUUAUUGGGCGUAAAGGGCGCGUAGGCGGCUAGAUGUGUCAAAGGUGAAAUCCCUCGGCUCAACUGAGGAACUGCCUUUGAAACUGUCUGGCUUGAGACCGGGAGAGGGUAGCGGAAUUCCCAGUGUAGCGGUGAAAUGCGUAGAUAUUGGGAGGAACACCAGUGGCGAAGGCGGCUACCUGGACCGGUUCUGACGCUGAGGCGCGAAAGCGUGGGGAGCGAACAGG
rnacentral:rRNA from 1 species